AGAUAGACAGGUAGGUGGUAGGUGGAUCAGAUGGACAGGUAGGUGGAUCAGAUGGACAGGUAGGUGGGUCAGAUGGACAGGUAGGUGGGUCAGAUGGACAGGUAG